UGAAGUUAUAGCACUCGAAAAUUAUAUAUACCUAAUACCUCAAAACACAUAAAGCAAAAACCAACACAUACACACACAGCAAAUCCACAGUCUUAAUGGGAGAAUUUAACACACCUCUCUGAAUAUCUAAUAGAACAAAUAGACAACGAGUCACAAAGGAUAUAGAAGAUUCCAACAAUACAAUCAGCAACUAUAACCUAAUGGAUGCAGUAGAAUACUGAGCUCACAACUACUAACUGUAUACCUUCUUUUCAAGAACACAAGGAAGUUUCAAACGUCAACUGUAUGCUGAGCCACAAAGCAAGUCUUAACAAAUAUCAAGCAACCAGAAGCCAUAAAGCAACUGCACGUUUUUCAUGGAGCUGCUCUGCUCAUUAAAAGCUCUGCUUUUAGCCCUUUGGUUUCAAAGGUAGUCGCACGCACACACACACGCUUCCCAAAUGAUGCAGUCAUGGAUUCGGACCACAAGCCAAGGCCACAAGCAACAUCUGCCUUGGCCCCUGAUGGCUGCCUUCCAAGAAGAGCCAGAACAGCGGAAGCAGCUAGCCGCGCGCGUGACCCAGCGGAGGCUGGUGAGUGGCGGGGCUUGAAGAUUCGAGGCCAGGCCGGUCCCACUCCUGGGUGAAGCUUUCGGCCCGUCGUAUUAAACUGAAUCGCAAUCCCCUGCUCCGCGUAUCUAGUUUUAAGUGGUUCGUGCCGUGUGUUCAGCAGAUGGAAACUGCAGUCCUACCCCGCCCCGUGUAGACACACUGCAGGCCGGAGCAGGCCAGUUCCCCGUCCGCGUGCGCACAACCUGCCUCCCCUCCCCCUCUGGCCCUUUGUUCUUCCCACGGCUGCUCAGCAAAUUCCUCGAUUUGAAAUUACGAUCACAGGUUGGAGUGCUACUUAAAAUAAUUUUGCCAAACGUUCCAUCUCGCUGCGUUGAUGAAUAUAAUGGAUGAAAACUUAAAGAGAAAAAAUUUAAGAAUUCACUUUGUUGAAGACAAAAAGAGAGCGGGCGAGAGACAGAGAGAGAGAGAGAGAGAGACUGCAUCCACGGCCUUCAUGUGGACACCUGAGGGAUUCUCUCCCACAGCAAGCUGGCCCAGUGCUGGACUUCUGGAAGCGUUCCCCUGGUGGGGAGAUGGGGCUGCUGUCAGGCCUUGGCCGGCCACAGAUGGAGGGGGCAGAGGUCAGGGCGGGUGUUGGGUUUGUUUAAGCGUGAGUCAGAGGCAGGGUGGGGGUAGACCCUCAGUGUCCGAUUUCCAAUUUCCUGUUCGAGUCACUGAUGGGCACUUCUCGCCGGCCCAGCCAGCCUUUUAUGCACACCGAUCCGCGGAACAAAGGCAGGCAAGAAGAGAGCCACAAAUAACCCGACAGGCCAGGUCUUCCUUCGCUAAGGAAGAUUCCUCUCUCCGACUCAGGGAGGCUGGGCCCAAAGCAGACCGCCGAAUGUUGCCCGGAGAUCACACGAGGCCUAGCACCGGGGCUCCUGGCUUCCUCCCCUCGGUGGGGACCUGGCCCCGGCCGUAGCCUCACGCUAGCCUAUCCAUUGGUUGGCCCAGUGCUCAGGGGCCCUCCAGGCGCCUGGGGCUCAACGAACCUGGCAGACAGGCCUCGAUGAGUUCAAACAUGGGGUCUUGCAUCACACUGGAUUCUACCAACUCAAGUGGACUCCGUGUAAGACACUUCCCUCGUUUUCUGAGGCUUCCUCUGUGCUUGGGAAGUAGGUGGGGAGGGAUGAGCAAAUCCUGAGCACAGAGAGGGUGGUGAGAGUCUCUCUCAAGUUCUUCCACGGCCAAAAAGCCCUCACGACAAGGAGGCACUUCUGCCAGCAGGGGCCCACGGUCAGGCCUGCCUCUGCGCAAGGAUUCCAGAAAACCGAUAAAGGCCAUGUGCCUCCAAGGUCACCUUCAAAGCAAACUGCUCUCUCAAAAUCUGUUCCACCGCCCUGUAUGAGUCUUGCCAUUCAUGGGAACCCAGCCCCUCUGGAAACAGCCCCAGCUUGUUGAGGGUCUAUUUAUUUGGCUCUGUGUCCUUCAAGAACACAAAGGUGAUGUCUUCAGUUGUGCUGCAUCAUGAUAAGCUGGCCUGGUGAGCUUAAGGGGAGCCCCGUGUACUCUCCCCAAGAUGAUGUUGCACCCAGCCUUGCAAAACACUGGAAAGAAACGAUGGCUUCCUCAGGGUCUCCUCAGCCUUGGAGGCAGAGAGGCCAGGGUGUGGCAGACAAUUCCAGACCCAUCACUUCCCAGCGGGGUGAUACUGGGGAGGCUCCGUCUCCUCAUCUGUUGAACGAGCACGAUUCUGUGCGUGUCACCAGGUAGCAGUGGGAGCUAAAGGAGCCCCGCUGUUGGCAAGCAGGAGUCUUUCCAGCUAUUUCCACCAGAAAUGGCAGCGGAGCAGGGCAGAAGGAAGCACCCAUCUCCAGGUCAGGGCCGAAGGGGAAGGAGUCUUUACAUACGGGAAUGCUACCGGUCUCUGUCACACCCUCAACCUCCAGCUUUGCUCGAAGGUCCGAUUACCAGCUUGUCUCCAACGUAUGACCACCCCCCCAACCCAAGCCCAGCCCAGUCCAGAGCAGCCCCGUGGUGGCUCCACUCCCAGGCCCGCCUCGUGGGCUGCUGGGGGUCACAAGCAGAGGCAGGGGACAUCUCACUACACUGUCUAUGGACACGUCUCUCCCCGUCUGUCAUCGCUCUUUCGACCCCCAAAGAAUGCCUGAACACUUGGCUUCUCCAGCCUCUAUUGGAGGAAAGAAAUGUCUUAGGUUCCUUUAACUUUGGGCCACGCUGUCUCCCUUCUACCCCGGCUCACCCAGUGCACAGGAGGAAUGGCCGCCCUGUGGAAGGAGGAUUCUAUCACUGACAGAGUUCAGAAUCACCGGUGCAUGGCAAUUAGAGAUUUCAAAAGCGGCAAGCUCUCGAGAGAGUGCACCCCUCAUGGCACACCCACCCCCGCACCCCUCAUCUCCUGGGUGCCCCCCCUUUCUGCUCCUGAUGCUCUUAUCACAAAGAGCAAUAUGCACUCCUGCUCACAUCUCUGCUACAGGAGCUGUCGGGAGAGAAGCUUGUGAGAACUCAAGAAAAGGGUGCUCUCCUUCUCCCUGGAAGUCAUUUUUGGGCCCAUUGGGCAAGCAAAGAAAUGACUCCUCUGCAGAGAUCAUCACAGACAUAUGAGAAGAGUCCUGGGGGCCUCCUUUUUCUUCUUGUUUUUUUUUCCUUUGUUUGCAGCUCACCACAUUUAAUGAGGAAGUACUGACCAUAAGGAGAGGAAACUUUCACCCCAACCACUCCCAGGACCCACGUCCCCAUCAGCAGUGAGAUAAGGAAACUGAGGCCAAUGAAGCGAAGAGAUUCCCCAGGUGACACAGGGAGUGAUAGAGCCAAGACGUUAAUCUGUCUGAAGUCAAGGUCGCCGGUUAGUCAGUCACACAGCUCCUCCAGGGUGCCAUGGGCUACCCCGUUUAUAAUGCCUUUCAGCUAAGGAUGCCCAAAAUACCUCAUCGAUGGAGAAUGAUCACCUUCUUGAAAACUUGGAAACGAAUCCUUCUAAAGCAAAUGAGUUUCCACACCUGGGGUUAAUGAUAAAGCUGGAAAAAUGCAAAGA